GACAGAGGGUGCAAACGUUGUUCGGAAUUACUGGGCGUAAAGCGCGUGUAGGCUGCUUCGCAAGUCGGAUGUGAAAGCCCUGGGCUCAACCCAGGAAGUGCAUUCGAAACUGCAGAGCUGGAGUCCUGGAGAGGAACGCGGAAUUCCAGGUGUAGCGGUGAAAUGCGUAGAUAUCUGGAGGAACACCGGUGGCGAAGGCGGCGUUCUGGACUGCAACUGACACUGAGGAACGAAAGCCAGGGGAGCAAACGGG
rnacentral:rRNA from 1 species